CAAUCCUUUUCUAUACUGUUGGGAAUGCUAGCAAAAUGCUUUUGGGUGGUUAUGAAGUGGCAUCAAAUUUAUUUGAAUGCCUUGCAGUUUCACCCCGAAAAUCUGAGUUACAUUUGGACUUUAAUCAUCGAUCUUUGUGUUUAAUGGUUUUGUUGCUGUGAAUGCUGAUGGCAAACUAUGCUAUUGGUUCUACUUGUGGCCAAUUACCUACCAAGUUAGGAGGUGAUAACUGCAAGUGUAAUUUUUGUGGUUUGUAUUUCUGCAUCUCACCUUCUAUGAAAAAUGAGAAAGAAGGAAAUUGAUCUACUUAUCUACUCUUCCUUAACGCUAGUUUCUCUCUCUUCCCCAAACUUUUACCUAUCUGGUUGUGUCCAUCUCUAUACAAGUCACUCUACCAAAUUGAUGGUACCAAUCUGUGUUGAAAAAGAUGCUUCUGUAAUUGUGGUGUUCCUGACCUGGAAGCUUGAACUAAUUGGUGGAGAAACAUCUUUUUUGGGUACAUAUAAAUCGGAUCUGGUCGCUAUUGCAACUAUAAGUACUGCAUUUUAAAGCAUCGGUAAGUUGAUGUUUCCCAAUGGUUCAGUGUGUAAGAGACGCAGAUUCUACCUUGUUGACUGUAUUGAAAAGGUCUUGAGACUCCUUAUUUGAAAUUUUUGUUCCAGGCUUGUUGAUUUUGGACAUUUUGCGGAUUGCUCAUGUCUGGUUAAGGACACUGUACCUGGCAAAAGACUCUGCAACAUACAAGCACCAUAAAUUGAAGAGUGUAGGUGCUAUUCAAAGCCAGAAUACGUAACUCUAGAGUAGGUUGAGUCCUAUCAAGAAAAGAGUUCAUCCUGGCCAGUGGGCUGUACAAAAAGUUCUUACUUUAUGUUCCGGAUAGGGGUGAGCAAAUUUAUCAGACCCAAGGAUGACUCAUUGAUGAGAGUCGGUUGGCGAUGAGCAAUGGGUCAGCAUCUGUUUGGAACUUUUCUUAACGAAAUGGUUGGUACUGGGGAGGGGGGCUUGCACGUGUAUGUGGGUCACCAAGAAGUUAACUUGAGCUGUUAUGAUCUUGUAUGAAUCCUCAGAAUUUGGAUGUGGCUGUCAUGCUCUCUAUCUAGUCAUCUUCAAUCAUUGUAAGACAAAUCACUUCCUAAUUGUUUCUGGGGUCAGAUCUGGAAUUACUCAUCCCCGAUCCGUGUUCUGAAGUCUUAUGCCUUAUAGUGUCACAGCUUUCAGGGGCCUUGUAACCUUGCCUAGGCCAUUCAGGAUUCCAGGAAUUGUUGCAUAUUAUGUAGCUUAUACUUUUUUCCAA